ACCCCGAUCCCAAGCACCAUGGAGCCGACGAUUUGGAUCAAGACCUACAUCCCAAGCACCAAGGUGCCUGGUUGAUAUGGAUCGCGAUCCCGAUCCGGAGCUCCAGGGCGCCGAGGAUUUCGAUCACGAUCCCGAUCUGAAGCACCGAGUAGCCGAGGAUAUGGAUCAAGACCCCGGUCCGAGGCGACAAGGAGGCAAGGAUUUGGAUCACCACUCCGAUCAAAGGCACCAAGGCGUCGAGGGAUUGGAUCGAGAUCCCGAUCCCAAUCAUGAUGUUGGCUAUGUAAUUUCCUGUUUUCCACACCGUUCAGGGCAUUUUGGUGGUCGUAUCGGCUUUUAGUUGCUUGCUUGGUGUUAGUGCCAAGGGAGUGGUUGGAAGCUAGGUCGUCCUCUGGAAUGCUUGUUGUAAAGGUGUAUGAGUUGUGUUUGGCUUGUUACGGGUGUUUGUUGGCUGCUUGUGCAGGAACUUUCAUGCGUCCAAGCCUCUUCAGUUGUGCUACAAGGCCUUGUCUGUCUUGUGCAUACGGUGGGUUUCCUGUGUUGCAUACCUAAUCAAGGGCAUCGUAUGGCUUGAUCGAAGUAAAUAUUCGUAAUGCGCCGCUUGCGGCGUUGCACGAACCUCGAAGUGGUCUCUGUGGCCCAUGUUGUCUUUGCUCACGCAUGGAUGGCAUGGCCCUCGGAGCGUCGCUUGGUCUCUUGGAUACGGAACCUGAUGAUGUGGGCGGUAGGGUCUUGGAUGAUUCUACCUUCGC
rnacentral:misc_RNA from 1 species